ACUGCACCUAGGGGCAUUGCAGGUGUGGCUGCUAUGCCACAUGUGUGUCAGUAGGUGGCAGAGGAGAGAGGCUAUGUUUACACUCAGUGUUCACACUGACCUGUGAACAUCUGAAAGAGUAGCAGCUGAACACG